AAAAGCUAGCAACGGUAAUGAGGAAGUGUGUUGUAUGCGGCUGUUCUGAGUCAAACGCCGACGCAGUCAGCUUACAUGAAUGGCCGAAAGAUUAACAGAUAGGCAAAUCAUGGACCAGGUUUGUGUAGACAAAACGGGCGUAUUGGACUUACAAAUCAAAGUCGACAGUAAUACUGUAUGUUCCAAGCAUUUCACGGAGGACUGCUUUGAAAACCUGAUACAGCGUUCACUUGGCUUCGGUAGCAAGGCAUGCGGAACACCUGUUAGAAGAGCGCCGGACCCUCUAUGUGGAUGCAGGCGUAAAAACUUCCUCUGUUGACACCCAAGCACCACCCCCUCUCAGCAGCCAGUACACAAAACCAAGCAAACACUUGGCUAUUCAGGAUCAUUUUUCAAGAUUUUCAAAUCAAAGCUGUUGAAAUGAUAUGUUGUGAAAAUUAAAAAAAUAAUAAUAAUACUUCAA